GCCUGUGUGGUUUAAUGGUUAAAAGCGGUAGACUUGUAAUCUGGUGAACCGGGUUCGUGUCUCCGCUCCUCCACGUGCA
rnacentral:tRNA from 1 species